rnacentral:misc_RNA from 1 species
UGUGAGUCAUUAACUAGGGUUUCUUUUUUUCUCUCUACUCAAUGGCAGACGAAUCGCAGUACUCAUCCGGCGCAGACACCACUCCCAUCGCCUCCAACAAGCGCAAAUACGAUGACCAAACCCCGCCGUCUUCAACGCGCCGUCCUACUGGCUUCUCAUCCCCGGAUUCCCUUCAUGCCCCGCCGUCUUACAACAGUGUUCCCCCGCCUACGGACGAGAUCCAGAUGGCCAAGCAGAAAGCUCAAGAAAUAGCCGCUCGCCUCUUGAGUGGAGCCGGUGCUGAUAUUAAGCGCCCUAGGGUUGAGAAUGGUGCUUCUGGCUUCGAUUCCAAUGAUAAGGGUUUUAGCUCAGCUCCUAAUGAUAUGAAGUCUCUGUCAAACUCGGCCCCUUCUGCAAUUCCUGUAUCAUACGGCUCAUACUUGUCAGGUUCAAGCAAAAAAA